rnacentral:lncRNA from 1 species
CGUGGUACUGUUAAUUGAGAUUAGUGAUUAUGUUUUUUUUUUAAUGUGGAAGUGAUUUUUACGUUCAUUAUUUGUUUAUAUAUUAAGGUUAGAGACUAGAAUAAUGAAUAUUUUUUUGGAUACUAAUUGCAUCCCCACAUAUCCCUAAUUGUAAAUUAUAUCUUGUUUGAAUAAAAUCAAGAAUCAUAACGGUUCAAUUUAUCAAUUUUUACUUAAAGAUCAUUCAAAAAAUAUCAUUCGAAUUGGAGAUUGUUUUAUCAUCCCAACACAUCAAAAUAAAUGUGGUUCAUCAUAAAUUUAUUACUCGGUACCUAUACUAUCGUUAAUUUGUUUUACACGUUUGAAUGACUAAAUAAUUUUUUAUUGAAAUGACUUUCUAUGGGGGUGACACAAGUUAUUCGCAAGGGAAAAACCAGUUUAUCCCUCCAAGAGGAGGAAUGCAAGUAUUACCCAUAUUUUUUUAAGCCACAAAUUGGUAAAAAAGUAAGCAAACUGAAAAGAACACCUCAACAAAACUAUAUAAUUUUCGCUUAAUGUCAAAAUAGUCGAUGUGUUAUAGUCAUUUGGCCAAUUUAGUAUUUGUGUAUUUAAUUUGGCAUUUAAUCUUCGCGUUGAUCUUCGCUAACCAAGGACAUUACAUCCAAUUUCUGUUAAAAAUUCAUAAAAAUAUUAUAACCCAUUAUAGAAAGAUAUUGUUCAAUUAAGAUAAAAAGAAAUUUAAUUUCAAAAUGAAAAGAAAAUAUAUUAAAACAACCCAUUAUACAAAGUUAUCUUGAUUCACCAACCCAUGAAAGUGAAAGCCCUGAAUUCGCCACCCGAUUGUUUCUUUUUAAUUAACGUGGUACUGUUCAUUGAGAUUGGUGAUUAUGUUUUUUUUUAAUGUGGAAGCGAUUUUUACGCUCAUUAAUUGUUUAUAUAUUAAAGUUAGAGACUAGAAUAAUGAAUAUUUUUUUGGAUGCUAAUUGCAUCCCCACAUAUCCCUAAUUGUAAAUUCUAUCUUGUUUGAAUAAAAUCAAGAAUCAUAACGGUUCAAUUUAUCAAUUUUUACUUAAAGAUCACUCAAAAAAUAUCAUUUGAAUUGGAAAUUGUUUUAUCAUCCCAACACAUCAAAAUAAAUGUGGUUCAUCAUAAAUUUAUUACUCGUUACCUAUACCAUCGUUAAUUUGUUCUAUACAUUUGAAUGACUAAAUGAUUUUUUAUUGAAAUGACUUUUUAUGGGGGUGAUACUCAAAUGAAGAUUAAGAAACUAAAGGGUUCCAACUAUAAAUUUGUAUGAUCGAUACACGUUAUUCGCAAGGGAAAAACGAGUUUAUCCCUCCAAGAGGAGGAAUGCAAGUAUUACCCAUAUUUGUUUAAGACACAAAUUGGUAAAAAAGUAGCAAACUGAAAAGAACACCUCAACAAAACUAUAUAAUUUUCGCUUAAUGUCAAAAUGGUCGAUGUGUUAUAGUCAUUUGGCCAAUUUAGUCUCUAUGUAUUUAAUUUGGCAUUUAGUCUUCGUGUUGAUCUUCGCUAACCAAGGACAUUACAUCCAAUUUCUGUUAAAAAUUCAUAAAAAUAUUAUAACCCAUUAUAUUUUUCAAUUAAGAUAAAAAGAAAUUUAAUUUCAAAAUGUAAAGAAAAUAUAUUAAAACAAACCCACCCUGCCAUCCGUCAUGU